GCGCGGGUAGCUCAGUGUAGAGCUUUCGAUUGCAGCUCGAAGGGUCACUGGUUCGAACCCGGUCUCGCGCU
rnacentral:tRNA from 1 species